CGUAGGGGUGAACCUGCGGAGGGAUCAUUA
rnacentral:rRNA from 1 species